rnacentral:lncRNA from 1 species
GUCCUCACGUGAGCGGUUUAGCAGCUUUGAUAAAGUCGGUUCACCCUGAGUGGAGCCCAGCAGCGGUUCGAUCGGCUCUCAUGACAACGGCUUACACCGUUUACAAAACCGGUGCGAAGUUGCAAGACAGUGCAACAGGAAAACCCUCGACGCCGUUCGAUCACGGAGCGGGACACGUGGACCCGGUGACUGCCCUUAACCCAGGGCUGGUGUAUGAUCUAACGGUGGAUGAUUAUCUUGGUUUUCUCUGCGCGUUAAACUACUCUGCCUCUGAAAUCAACACCCUGGCUAAGAGAAAAUUCGAGUGCAACGCGGGCAAGCAGUACAGUGUGAACGACCUGAACUACCC